UGGGCAGUAUCUCAUGUGAACUGCACCCCCAUAAAUACCAAAUUAUUUGAAAAUCUGCCUUGAUCCAGAGAACUGGACUGGGACGGAGGG
rfam:Bacillus sp. FJAT-22058 super1, whole genome shotgun sequence.